rnacentral:rRNA from 1 species
GGUCACUGCUAUUGGGAUUCGACUAAGCCAUGCGAGCCGAGAGGGUUCGGCCCUCGGCUGACGGCUCAGUAACACGUGGAUAAUCUGCCCUUAGGUGGAGGAUAAUCUCGGGAAACUGAGGAUAAUACUCCAUAGAUCUAGGAUGCUGGAAUGCAUUUAGAUUGAAAGCUCCGGCGCCUAAGGAUGAGUCUGCGGACUAUCAGGUUGUAGUCAGGGUAAAGACCUGACUAGCCUACGACGGAUACGGGUUGUGAGAGCAAUAACCCGGAGACGAUAUCUGAGACACGAUAUCGGGCCCUACGGGGCGCAGCAGGCGCGAAAUCUUCACAAUGUGCGAAAGCACGAUGAGGGGAUCCCAAGUGCUGGCACGUAAGUGUCAGCUGUUUCUUAGUCUAAAAAACUGAGAGAGUAAGGGCUGGGUAAGACGGGUGCCAGCCGCCGCGGUAAUACCUGCAGCUCAAGUGGUGGCCGCUAUUAUUGGGCCUAAAACGUCCGUAGCCUGUUUAGUAAAUGCUUGGGUAAAUUGUGUAGCUUAACUAUACGAAUACCGGGUAGACUGCUAAACUUGGGACCGGGAGAGGCUAGAGGUACUCCUGGGGUAGAGGUGAAAUUCUGUAAUCCUAGGGGGACCACCAGUGGCGAAGGCGUCUAGCUAGAACGGGUCUGACGGUGAGGGACGAAGCCCUGGGGCGCAAACCGGAUUAGAUACCCGGGUAGUCCAGGGUGUAAACGCUGCUUGCUUGAUGUUAGUUGGGCUCCGAGCCCAACUAGUGUCGGAGAGAAGUUGUUAAGCAAGCUGCCUGGGAAGUACGGUCGCAAGACUGAAACUUAA